GAUCCUGGCUCAGGACGAACGCUGGCGGCGUGCUUAACACAUGCAAGUCGAACGGAGCACCCUUGACGGAGUUUUCGGACAACAGAUAGGAAUGCUUAGUGGCGGACUGGUGAGUAACGCGUGAGGAACCUGCCUUUCAGAGGGGGACAACAGUUGGAAACGACUGCUAAUACCGCAUGACGCAGCGAGGGGGCAUCCCUUUGCUGCCAAAGAUUUAUCGCUGAAAGAUGGCCUCGCG
rnacentral:rRNA from 1 species